rnacentral:misc_RNA from 1 species
GAUGAAGAACGCAGCGAAAUGCGAUACGUAAUGUGAAUUGCAAAUUCAGUGAAUCAUCGAGUCUUUGAACGCACAUUGCGCCCCCUGGUAUUCCGGGGGGCAUGCCUGUCCGAGCGUCAUUGCUGCCCUCAAGCACGGCUUGUGUGUUGGGCCCCGUCCUCCGAUCCCGGGGGACGGGCCCGAAAGGCAGCGGCGGCACCGCGUCCGGUCCUCGAGCGUAUGGGGCUUUGUCACCCGCUCUGUAGGCCCGGCCGGCGCUUGCCGAUCAACCCAAAUUUUUUAUCCAGGUUGACCUCGGAUCAGGUAGGGAUACCCGCUGAACUUAAGCAUAUCAAUAAGCGGGGA